UCCUCUCUCUCUGAUUAGCGCUCAUUGUGUCUGAGAGUAUUUACAUUAUCAUAGUAUUUUUUAUUUUAUUUCCCUCUGUUCUUUGUGUGAGUAUCUGUUUAUCUGCCCUUCAGUGUGUUUUGAAUAUGUUUUGGAUUUUGGAUCAGGCAUUGCGUUUGUUCCCCAGUACUUUGUUCUUUUUUAAUGGACUUCUGCUUUCCACCUGACCCCUUGGAGGAAGUAGUCUGGAUCCAAUUCCAAAAGAACUCCAGAGCAGUUUGUUGAUGGUGAGAAUAUGAUGCAACUUCAAUGCAACUUGAAGUUUAAGCUAAACACCUUCACUCAACCAGGCAACAGACAGGAAGAGCAUCACUUGGAGACGUCAAAACCACAGGAAGAGCUCACAGAAAGACGCAUCACGCAGAUGUGCCAUGAAACAUCGAGGGUCUAGUCGAAUAAAACCGCCUCUCUCCGUGAUGGGAAAUGCCACGGGGUCCAAGAAAGAUGUCAAGGAGGACGUUUGGGCUGUAGCAAAUGUAAACACAAUGAGGAGGAACUCAGAUUUGCUGAUUGAACUCACCGAACAGAACAUCUCCCAUGCGUUUGCAACGCUGGUGCCUUUUGGAACAUUUUUAAUGCAAAUAAAAUGACAAGUCCAGAUAAUUGUACUAACAGAAGUCUGCACUGCAGUUAUGAUGGGGAAAAAUCUAGUAUUUUAUUACUCUGUUAAUAAAUACCUUUAAAUUGUAUCUGUGUCAAUGCAAUGCACCCACAAAGUUAAAGAACCAGCCUAAAUAUGGCUCCAAAGGGUUCAUUUACUUUUCCCUACCACACGAGUCUUGCUCUGCACAUACGUGGCAUGCAGAGCAGGAUUCGUGUGUGUGUGUGCAUGUUCAUGUGUGAACCCAGCUCACUGAGAAAACGUCCACAUAUGAUUUAUCUUCACUCAGUAAUGCCGCCCCUUGUCAUGCAUGUAAAAUUCAUCCUUAUUUCUCUGCUGCCUGCUCUCUCUCUCUGCU